AGAGUUUGAUCCUGGCUCAGGACGAACGCUGGCGGCGCGCCUAAAACAUGCAAGUCGAACGAGAAGCUCGGGUUCGCUCGGGUGGACAGUGGCGAACGGGUGAGUAACACGUGAGGAACCUGCCCCGAAGACCGGGAUAACACCGGGAAACCGGUGCUAAUACCGGAUGCCCUCGCAGGAUCGCAUGUCCCUGCGAGGAAAUGGAUUCCGCUUCGGGAUGGCCUCGCGGCCUAUCAGCUUGUUGGUGAGGUAACGGCUCACCAAGGCGACGACGGGUAGCUGGUCUGAGAGGAUGUCCAGCCACACUGGGACUGAGACACGGCCCAGACUCCUACGGGAGGCAGCAGUUAGGAAUCUUGCGCAAUGGGCGAAAGCCUGACGCAGCGACGCCGCGUGCGGGAUGACGGCCUUCGGGUUGUAAAGCACUUUUGGACGGGAAGAGGAAGGACGGUACCGUUCGAAUAAGCCUCGGCUAACUACGUGCCAGCAGCCGCGGUAAUAC
rnacentral:rRNA from 1 species